GACUUGCGUCCAUUGACCAAUAUUCCUCACUGCUGCGUGCAGGAUGACGGCUCUAUGAGUUGUAAACUGCUUUUGUACGAGGGUAAACUCACCUACGUGUAGGUGACUGAAAGUAUCGUACGAAUAAGGAUCGGCUAACUCCGUGCCAGCAGCCGCGGUAAUACGGAGGAUUCAAGCGUUAUCCGGAUUUAUUGGGUUUAAAGGGAGCGUAGGCGGUUAGAUAAGUUAGAGGUGAAAUCCCGGGGCUUAACUCCGAAAUUGCCUCUAAUACUGUUUGACUAGAGAGUAGUUGCGGUAGGCGGAAUGUAUGGUGUAGCGGUGAAAUGCUUAGAGAUCAUACAGAACACCGAUUGCGAAGGCAGCUUACCAAACUAUAUCUGACGUUGAGGCACGAAAGCGUGGGGAGCAAACAGGAUUAGAUACCCUGGUAGUCCACGCAGUAAACGAUGAUAACUCGCUGUCGGCGAUACACAGUCGGUGGCUAAGCGAAAGCGAUAAGUUAUCCACCUGGGGAGUACGUUCGCAAGAAUGAAACUCAAAGGAAUUGACGGGGGCCCGCACAAGCGGAGGAACAUGUGGUUUAAUUCGAUGAUACGCGAGGAACCUUACCCGGGCUUGAAAGUUAGCGACGGAUCUGGAAACAGGUCUUCCCUUCGGGGCGCGAAACUAGGUGCUGCAUGGUUGUCGUCAGCUCGUGCCGUGAGGUGUCGGGUUAAGUCCCAUAACGAGCGCAACCCCUACCGUUAGUUGCCAUCAGGUGAAGCUGGGCACUCUGGCGGGACUGCCGGUGUAAGCCGAGAGGAAGGUGGGGAUGACGUCAAAUCAGCACGGCCCUUACGUCCGGGGCUACACACGUGUUACAAUGGGGGGUACAGAAGGCAGCUACACGGCCGGGAACGUAUUCACCGCGCCGUGGCU
rnacentral:rRNA from 1 species